rnacentral:rRNA from 1 species
AAUAACCAUGGGAGGGAAUGCCCGUGGGAUGACAUGAACCGACGAAUAAGCCCCGGCUAACUACGUGCCAGCAGCCGCGGUAACACGUAGGGGGCGAGCGUUGUUCGGAAUUACUGGGCGUAAAGGGCAUGUAGGCGGUCUUGUAAGCUUGGCGUGAAAGACCACGGCUCAACCGUGGGAUUGCGUUGAGAACUGCGAGGCUUGAGUGACGGACAGGGAGCUAGAAUUCCUGGUGUACGGGUGGAAUCUGUAGAGAUCAGGAAGAAUACCAAUGGCGAAGGCAAGCUCCUGGCCGAUGACUGACGCUGAGGUGCGAAAGUGUGGGGAUCAAACAGGAUUAGAUACCCUGGUAGUCCACACUGUAAACGAUGUGCACUAGGUGCUGGUACGGAUGUAUCACU